rnacentral:rRNA from 1 species
AUGAACGCUGGCGGCGUGCUUCACACAUGCAAGUCGAACGGAAAGGCUCCUGCUUGCAGGGGUACUCGAGUGGCGAACGGGUGAGUAACACGUGGGUGAUCUGCCCUGCACUUCGGGAUAAGCCUGGGAAACUGGGUCUAAUACCGGAUAGGACGAUGGUUUGGAUGCCAUUGUGGAAAGUUUUUCGGUGUGGGAUGAGCUCGCGGCCUAUCAGCUUGUUGGUGGGGUAAUGGCCUACCAAGGCGUCGACGGGUAGCCGGCCUGAGAGGGUGUACGGCCACAUUGGGACUGAGAUACGGCCCAGACUCCUACGGGAGGCAGCAGUGGGGAAUAUUGCACAAUGGGCGCAAGCCUGAUGCAGCGACGCCGCGUGGGGGAUGACGGCCUUCGGGUUGUAAACUCCUUUCGCUAGGGACGAAGCGCAAGUGACGGUACCUGGAGAAGAAGCACCGGCUAACUACGU